GUUGUUGGGUAGGGGAGCGUUCUGUAAGCCGUUGAAGGUGUCCUGUGAGGGGUGCUGGAGGUAUCAGAAGUGCGAAUGCUGACAUAAGUAACGAUAAAGCGGGUGAAAAGCCCGCUCGCCGGAAGACCAAGGGUUCCUGUCCAACGUUAAUCGGGGCAGGGUGAGUCGACCCCUAAGGCGAGGCCGAAAGGCGUAGUCGAUGGGAAACAGGUUAAUAUUCCUGUACUUGGUGUUACUGCGAAGGGGGGACGGAGAAGGCUAUGUCAGCCGGGCGACGGUUGUCCCGGUUUAAGCAUGUAGGCGGAGGUUCCAGGUAAAUCCGGUACCUUGUUAACGCUGAGGUGUGAUGACGAGGCACUACGGUGCUGAAGUGAUAAAUGCCCUGCUUCCAGGAAAAGCCUCUAAGCAUCAGGUAACACGAAAUCGUACCCCAAACCGACACAGGUGGUCAGGUAGAGAAUACCAAGGCGCUUGAGAGAACUCGGGUGAAGGAACUAGGCAAAAUGGUGCCGUAACUUCGGGAGAAGGCACGCUGAUAUGUAGGUGAAGUCCCUGCGGACGGAGCUGAAAUCAGUCGAAGAUACCAGCUGGCUGCAACUGUUUAUUAAAAACACAGCACUGUGCAAACACGAAAGUG
rnacentral:rRNA from 1 species